UGAAGUCGUAACAAGGUAACCGUAGGAGAACCUGCGGUUGGAUCACCUCCUUUCUAGAGUACAUAUAGAUAUUCUCUCACAAGAUAUCUAUAAGAAAGAUAUUCUCAAUCAUCCUUGUUUAGUUUUGAAAGAUUGAUAGACCUAUAGGGGCCUAUAGCUCAGCUGGUUAGAGUGCACCCCUGAUAAGGGUGAGGUCACAAGUUCAAGUCUUGUUAGGCCCACCAGAGAAUUUAAUUGGGGAAUUAGCUCAGCUGGGAGAGCGCCUGCUUUGCACGCAGGAGGUCAGCGGUUCGAUCCCGCUAUUCUCCACCAUAAAAUAGUUUAACCGUAUUAAGUCUAAUUAGAGAGCUUAAAUUUUUAAACUUUCUAAUUAGACUUUUGUCUAAAUGUUCUUUUAAUUAAUAUUGUUAAUAGUCACAAGCAAGUUUUAAAAACAAUUUUACAGGACUUGUUAAAGAUUUAAAUUUCUAUUCUCUUUGCAUUUAAUGCAAAAGUUUGACAUCACAAUCUAUUUAGGAUUUAAAACUUAUCUAAAUAGUAGUCAAUGCUUUCCGUCUUGAGAGCUAGAAUUUAAAUAUAGUAACAUAAAGUUAUCUUUAACAAGGAAGUGAUGCGAAUUAGAAUAAUCUAAUAUAGAAAAGGUAAGCUACAAAGAGCAAGUGGUGGAUGCCUUGGCUAGUAGAGGCGAUGAAAGACGUGCCAGGCUGCGAUAAGUCUCGGGGAGCCGUCAAGGGGCUUUGAUCCGGGAAUUUCUGAAUGGGGCAACCCAGUUAAGCGCGAGCUUAACUACCUAAUAUGGAGCGAACGAGGGGAAUUGAAACAUCUUAGUACCCUCAGGAAAAGAAAUCAAAAGAGAUUACGCUAGUAGCGGCGAGCGAACGCGUAAGAGGGCAAACCGUUAGUUUACUAACGGGGUUGUAGGACUGCAAUAUAGACUAAACUUAGCUAAUAGAAUAAUUUGGAAAGAUUAAGCAUAGAGGGUGAUACUCCCGUAUAUGAAAGCUUUGUUUUACUUAGCCGUAUCCUGAGUAGGGCGGAACCCGUGAUAUUCUGUUUGAAGCUGGGUAGACCCCUAUCCAACCCUAAAUACUUCUACUAGACCGAUAGUNCA
rnacentral:misc_RNA from 1 species